UAGGGAAUAUUAGUAAUGGGCGAAAGCCUGAACUAGCAACACCGCGUGUGCGAAGAAGGCCUUCGGGUUGUAAAGCGCUUUUUGAGAGGAUGAGGAAGGACAGUACUCUUAGAAUAAGCCUCGGCUAACUACGUGCCAGCAGCCGCGGUAAAACGUAGGAGGCGAGCGUUAUCCGGAUUUACUGGGCGUAAAGCGUGUGUAGGCGGUUUGAUAAGUUGGAUGUGAAAGCUCCUGGCUUAACUGGGAGAGGUCGUUCAAAACUAUCAGACUUGAGAGUGGUAGAGGGAGGUGGAAUUCCGCAUGUAGUGGUGAAAUGCGUAGAUAUGCGGAGGAACACCAGUGGCGAAAGCGGCCUCCUGGCCCAUUUCUGACGCUCAGACACGAAAGCUAAGGUAGCAAACA
rnacentral:rRNA from 1 species